rnacentral:rRNA from 2 species
UGUUCUAACGUGGAUCCGUAAUCCGGGUUGCGGACAGUGUCUGGUGGGUAGUUUGACUGGGGCGGUCUCCUCCUAAAGAGUAACGGAGGAGCACGAAGGUUGGCUAAUCCUGGUCGGACAUCAGGAGGUUAGUGCAAUGGCAUAAGCCAGCUUGACUGCGAGCGUGACGGCGCGAGCAGGUGCGAAAGCAGGUCAUAGUGAUCCGGUGGUUCUGAAUGGAAGGGCCAUCGCUCAACGGAUAAAAGGUACUCCGGGGAUAACAGGCUGAUACCGCCCAAGAGUUCAUAUCGACGGCGGUGUUUGGCACCUCGAUGUCGGCUCAUCACAUCCUGGGGCUGAAGUAGGUCCCAAGGGUAUGGCUGUUCGCCAUUUAAAGUGGUACGCGAGCUGGGUUUAGAACGUCGUGAGACAGUUCGGUCCCUAUCUGCCGUGGGCGCUGGAGAACUGAGGGGGGCUGCUCCUAGUACGAGAGGACCGGAGUGGACGCAUCACUGGUGUUCGGGUUGUCAUGCCAAUGGCACUGCCCGGUAGCUAAAUGCGGAAGAGAUAAGUGCUGAAAGCAUCUAAGCACGAAACUUGCCCCGAGAUGAGUUCUCCCUGAGACUUAGAGUCUCCUGAAGGAACGUUGAAGACGACGACGUUGAUAGGCCGGGUGUGUAAGCGCAGCGAUGCGUUGAGCUAACCGGUACUAAUGAACCGUGAGGCUUAACCUUACAACGCCGAAG